GCCUCCGUGGUGUAAUGGUAGCACACUCGGUGCAUAUUCGAGAGGUCAAGAGUUCGAGUCCCGGCGAGGGCG
rnacentral:tRNA from 1 species